rnacentral:rRNA from 1 species
CUACGGGGGGCACCAGUGGGGAAUAUUGCGCAAUGGGCGAAAGCCUGACGCAGCAACGCCGCGUGAGGGAUGAAGGCCUUCGGGUUGUAAACCUCUUUCAGCAGGGAAGAAGCGAAAGUGACGGUACCUGCAGAAGAAGCACCGGCUAACUACGUGCCAGCAGCCGCGGUAAUACGUAGGGUGCAAGCGUUGUCCGGAUUUAUUGGGCGUAAAGAGCUCGUAGGCGGUUAGUCACGUCGGAUGUGAAAAUCCAAGGCUUAACCUUGGACCUGCAUUCGAUACGGGCUGACUAGAGUGUUGUAGGGGAGACUGGAACUCCUGGUGUAGCGGUGAAAUGCGCAGAUAUCAGGAAGAACACCGAUGGCGAAGGCAGGUCUCUGGGCAACUACUGACGCUGAGGAGCGAAAGCGUGGGGAGCAAACAGGAUUAGAUACCCGUGUAGUC